rnacentral:rRNA from 1 species
UAGGGAAUAUUAGAAAUGGACGAAAGUCUGAUCUAGCAACACCGCGUGUGCGAAGAAGGCCUUCGGGUUGUAAAGCACUUUUUGGAAGGAUUAGGAAGGAAUGUACUUCCAGAAUAAGUCUCGGCUAACUACGUGCCAGCAGCCGCGGUAACACGUAGGAGGCAAACGUUAUCCGGAUUUACUGGGCGUAAAGCGCGCGUAGGUGGUUCUGUAAGUAGGGCGUGAAAGCUCCUGGCUCAACUGGGAGAGGCCGUUCUAAACUGCAGAGCUAGAGGAUGGUAGAGGGAGGUGGAAUUCUGGGUGUAGCGGUGGAAUGCGCAGAUAUCCGGAGGAACACCAGUGGCGAAAGCGGCCUCCUGGACCAUUCCUGACACCCAGACGCGAAAGCUAGGGUAGCAAACG